rnacentral:lncRNA from 13 species
UCAAAAUAAGGCAAGUGCCAGCAUGUACUGGGGGAUCCCGGACCGCCAUGAGCCCCUGACUGCAGGGCAGGGAGAAAGGAGGGGAGGAGGGAGUGACUCUGGGCACUUGGGCCAGGCUUGUAGUGAGGGUCUCAGUCUGCUAAGGGGGCGGGGUAUGAGGAGCUGUGGUGAGGAGAGUCAUGAACUCCCCCAGUCAUGGAAUGUCCCAGAACAGCUGUGCAGAAAAGAGUAUGAGAGACCAGAGGCAGAAAGCAGCUGCUCUCUGGGCCUUGGGCCCCUCUCUCUGGGCUCCCCCACCCCCAGUGACUCUUCCCACCACCAGUCUUGUCAACCCCUUUCUCCUCAGUACUAGAGGGUGGCCACACAGUCACCGUCUACUACUCACUUGCAGCCAUACCCUGGCUCCUCAGAGCAGCCCCAACAUGGGGGUUCCACAGGGCAUCACCUGUCUCCCAGCUCAGACCCUGGCACCUUCCUGCUGCUCGAUCCUCUUCUUGCCUUUCCUCAAGUGUCUCCCUGCUUCCACUCCUCUCCUUCCUUGCUUACUUCCACCUCCUGCCUCCCAGCCCAGCCCCAACCUUUUCCACCUGACCUUAGUGACACACCCCUCCCUCCCUCCUUUCCUUCCUUUCUUCUGUGCCUCCCUUCCACUAUUUCUCUCCUCUUUCUUUCCUUAUUUUUCCUUUCUUCAUUCAUUCCUUUUUCUUUCUUUUUUUCUUCCUCCCUUCCCUUCCCCUUCCACUUCCCCUUCCACUUCCCCUUCUCCUUUCUUCCUUCUUUCUUUCCUUCCCUCCUUCCUUUUUCCUUCCUCCCUCCCUUCCUUUCCCACUUCUUUCUUUCUCUUUACUUCCUUUCUUCCUUUUUCUUUUUCUUUUUUUUCUUCUUUCUUUCUCUUUCUCUUUCUUUCUUCCUCCCUUCCCUUUGCACUUACACUUCCCGUUCUCCUUCCUGCCCUCCUUCUUCCUUUCCUCCCUUCCUUCCUUUCCUACUGAGGAGUCUCUACGUGUUGUCAGAGACAUCUCCUCUUCAUCAACUCCCUGUGACCCCUGUU